GACGAACGCUGGCGGCGUGCCCAAUACAUGCAAGUCGAGCGAAUCAAUAGGAGCUUGCUCCUGUUGGUUAGCGGCGGACGGGUGAGUAACACGUGGGCAACCUGCCUGUAAGACUGGGAUAACACCGGGAAACCGGUGCUAAUACCGGAUAAUCCUUUUCCUCACAUGAGGGAAAGCUGAAAGUCGGUUUCGGCUGACACUUACAGAUGGGCCCGCGGCGCAUUAGCUAGUUGGUGAGGUAACGGCUCACCAAGGCGACGAUGCGUAGCCGACCUGAGAGGGGGAUCGGCUACACUGGGACUGAGACACGGCCCAGACUCCUACGGGAGGCAGCAGUAGGGAAUCUUCCACAAUGGACGAAAGUCUGAUGGAGCAACGCCGCGUGAGCGAUGAAGGCCUUCGGGUCGUAAAGCUCUGUUGUUAGGGAAGAACAAGUACCGGAGUAACUGCCGGUACCUUGACGGUACCUAACCAGAAAGCCACGGCUAACUACGUGCCAGCAGCCGCCGUAAUAC
rnacentral:rRNA from 1 species